rnacentral:miRNA from 1 species
GUACACUCGUCCUUUGGUUAU